rnacentral:lncRNA from 1 species
AACUUUUUACCAUUAAUUAGCAAACUGUCAGCUUAGCAUUUGGGGCGGAAUAACCUGUUGGAAUUCUGCAAGUUAUGCCGGGAUUGUGCUUGUAACAUGUGAAGUGGUUUAGCUACCAUGAAAAAGAAAGUGCUUUGCUGAAGCCUUUCAGUAAGAAGAGAAACUUUGGUAGGAUUCCCUUUUGAAUGGCUUAUGAGUCGGUGAAUGAGUGUAACAUCACAGUUUUACUUUUUGAAACAAACGAAAAAUUGUCUCGGGACGGACACAUGACACAGUUUAGAAAUAGUACAAAAUAUAAUUAAAAUUAUACAUAAACGAUACUGAUAACUUUUGCAGAAAAACUGGAAUAUUACGCCAAACAACUUAUCUUCGGAAGCUGAUGUCAAACAUAGAAUGGACCCAUCUUUUAAAACAAAUCCUAGAAAUAUACGGUCUCAUCAAUAUCUCAACUUCAGCCUGACGGCAGAUGAACAGAUCAUCUAUUAAUUCUUCUAAUACCAUAUCACCUGUCACGAACUGGUGUGUGGCUCGAGGUCGGUCUUCCGAAGUUAUCAUAUAGAUAUCAAUAUUGAAAAUCAUUUAAAAAGAUAACCAUAUAGCAUGUAAAGCACGUUGGACAACUCUGACUCUACUUUGCAUAUUUUAAUUGAGAUUCCGGUUCACAUAUGCUGACGACCCAUAUACAUGUUAGUGGCACCAAAUUGGGCCGCAUAUAGUGGCGCCUACCAAGGCCCACGACGACAGUUAGUGUGGGAAACCCACCGCGUAGCUAUAGUGCAUUAAGCACGAUCGUCAACAUAUGAGCUCUAACUAGGUGAUCAAUCAAUACUCAUAUUACUCUUGCAAUAUAACUUGUUCAACUGAACAAUUACAUGUAACAUAUCAUAUCAGAAAUAUAUCACUUAUGAUAUAAUAGAAUAUAUGGAUCACAUAUAAUUGACAUGUUACGUUGUCACAUAUAAUACAUUUAAAACCUUUAAAAUCCAAUUAUUAUUCAUGUAAUUCAAAAAAAUAAGAUAGUUUAGGUAUUAAACUGGAAGUAUGAAAGUUCAGGGACUAAACUGGAUAUUUACCGACGGGAAUUCAUUUUGCCAGACUUAUUUCCAGAAUCCGGGGACGACGAACCCAACUCCGGCGAGCCUUGAAUCGCCACUAAAAAUCGAGCAAACUCGAAUCGAAGGACACGCAAAGCUUCGUCUCGAUAAUACGAAUUUAACAAAGGUAUUUAAAGAUCAUGGGUUGGUUCGGAACUCGUCGACGCAAGUCGCCGUCGAAGAAGGAAACAAAGAAGGAGGGACAAAAAUUCGGCUUGCGCAUCUAUACAAAGAAGGAGGGACAAAAAUUCGGCUUGCCUCUAUUCAAUACUAACACUAGACGAUUUUAAAUAGCCAAACGAUUUCCCCCGAGCGACGGUUUGGUCUUGAUUUGAGGUAUAGACACAUGGAUUUACAAUUCAGCGCCGGAAGAGGUUAAAUCGGAGGAGGAAGAGAACAACAUUUCAGGUGCGUCUCAAAUGGAUUGAAACAGAGAAGAGGUCGUAAUUAGAGUUACAAUGAUAAUAUCGAAGAUAACGAUCUUCAAUUACACAGUAAACCAUACAGGAAUCGCC